AUGAACGCUAGCGAUAGGCCUAACACAUGCAAGUCGAGGGGCAUCACAAAGAGUAGCAAUACUUUUGGUGGCGACCGGCGGAUGGGUGAGUAACACGUAUGCAACCUACCUUCUACAUUGGGAUAACCCGUUGAAAGACGGACUAAUACCGAAUAAUACAGGGGCGCCACAUGGUGAUAUUUGUUAAAGUUUCGAGCAAUCGAUUCGGUAGAAGAUGGGCAUGCGUAUGAUUAGCUAGUUGGUGAGGUAACGGCUCACCAAGGCAACGAUCAUUAGGGGUUCUGAGAGGAAGGUCCCCCACACUGGUACUGAGACACGGACCAGACUCCUACGGGAGGCAGCAGUGAGGAAUAUUGGUCAAUGGGCGCGAGCCUGAACCAGCCAAGUCGCGUGAAGGAAGACUGUCCUAUGGAUUGUAAACUGCUUUUGCACAGGAAGAAACAACGCUACGUGUAGCGUCUUGACGGUACUGUGAGAAUAAGGAUCGGCUAACUCCGUG
rnacentral:rRNA from 1 species